rnacentral:rRNA from 1 species
GCACAAGCGGUGGAGCAUGUGGUUCAAUUCGACGCAACGCGAAGAACCUUACCUGGGCUCGAAAUGUAGUGGACCGGGGUGGAAACAUCCCUUUUCGCAAGAACUGCUAUAUAGGUGCUGCAUGGCUGUCGUCAGCUCGUGUCGUGAGAUGUUGGGUUAAGUCCCGCAACGAGCGCAACCCUUAUUGCCAGUUGCCAUCAUUCAGUUGGGCACUCUGGCGAAACCGCCCCGGAUAACGGGGAGGAAGGUGGGGAUGACGUCAAGUCCUCAUGGCCUUUAUGUCCAGGGCUACACACGUGCUACAAUGGUCGGUACAAACCGUCGCAAACCUGCGAAGGGGGGCUAAUCGGAAAAAGCCGACCUCAGUUCGGAUUGGAGUCUGCAACUCGACUCCAUGAAGCUGGAAUCGCUAGUAAUCGCGGAUCAGAACGCCGCGGUGAAUACGUUCCCGGGC